GAAUAUUCAUACCACUGAGAUACAAGAACUAGAAUCGAAGAUGUACAUUCAUAAAAAGGCAUUCAUGCGACAGAAUAUUCAUGAGACUAAAGGUCAGCAGGGGGGUAUGCAUAAGGUCGAAUGUUUCUUUCUUUCUUUCUUUCUUUCUGAUAUUAAAACAGAAUUUUUUUAUAAAAAAGAAUUCAUACGACAGAAUAUGAAUG
rnacentral:ribozyme from 1 species